UACGUAGGGGGCAAGCGUUGUCCGGAAUCAUUGGGCGUAAAGCGUGUGUAGGCGGCUUCGUAAGUCCGUUGUGAAAGUCCAGGGCUCAACCCUGGAAUGCCGAUGGAUACUGCGGAGCUAGAGUCCGGAAGAGGCGAGUGGAAUUCCUGGUGUAGCGGUGAAAUGCGCAGAUAUCAGGAGGAACACCAAUGGCGAAGGCAGCUCGCUGGGACGGUACUGACGCUGAGACGCGAAAGCGUGGGGAGCAAACAGG
rnacentral:rRNA from 1 species